ACGUAGGAGGCAAACGUUAUCCGGAUUUACUGGGCGUAAAGCGGGUGUAGGUGGUUUUGUAAGAGGGGCGUGAAAGCUCCGGGUUAAAUUGGGAGAGGCGGUUCUAAACUGCAGAGCUAGAGGAUGGUAGAGGGAGGUGGAAUUCCGGGUGUAGCGGUUGAAUGCGCAGAUAUCCGGAGGAACACCAUUGUCGAAAGCGGCCUCCUGGACCAUUCCUGACACUCAGACGCGAAAGCUAGGUUAGCAAACGG
rnacentral:rRNA from 1 species